UACGUAGGGACCAAGCGUUGUUCGGAUUUACUGGGCGUAAAGGGCGCGUAGGCGGCUUAACAAGUCACUUGUGAAAUCUCCGGGCUUAACUCGGAACGGCCAAGUGAAACUGUCAAGCUAGAGUGCAGAAGGGGCAAUCGGAAUUCCUGGUGUAGCGGUGAAAUGCGCAGAUAUCAGGAGGAACACCGGUGGCGAAGGCGGAUCUCUGGGCCAUUACUGACGCUGAGGAGCGAAAGCGUGGGGAGCGAACAGG
rnacentral:rRNA from 1 species